rnacentral:misc_RNA from 1 species
AACGCACAUUGCGCCCACCAGUAUUCUGGUGGGCAUGCCUGUUCGAGCGUCAUUUCAACCCUCAAGCCUGGCUUGGUGUUGGGGCUCUGCGUCUGCAGGCCCUCAAAUCCAGUGGCGGACACGCUAGGUCUCCGAGCGCAGUAGUUUCUCCUCGCUCAGGGCGUCCGGCGUGCGCUUGCCUCGCACCCAUCUUAUCAAGGUUGACCUCGGAUCAGGUAGGAAUACCCGCUGAACUUAA